rnacentral:rRNA from 1 species
UACGUAGGGUGCGAGCGUUAAUCGGAAUUACUGGGCGUAAAGCGUGCGCAGGCGGUUCGUUGUGUCGGCGGUGAAAGCCCCGGGCUUAACCUGGGAAUGGCCGUUGAAACUGGCGAACUGGAGUGUGGCAGAGGGGGGUGGAAUUCCGCGUGUAGCAGUGAAAUGCGUAGAUAUCUGGAGGAACACCGGUGGCGAAGGCGGCAUCCUGGACCAACACUGACACUGAGGAGCGAAAGCCAGGGGAGCAAACGGG